GUGGGAUGCCUCAUGGCAGGAUGUGGCCACAUCAGCCGUCAGGGAGCCUCUCUCAGCCUGACACUGUAUAUAGCACAGAGCUGUGAACAGAAGGCCUGUGUUGUCUCUGCACUGAACUGCCAGACGCGCCCCCUCUUAUCGGUGCAGAGGCUGGGAGGCUGGCAGUCUGGAUUUCAGGAAAAGGAGACAAUGAUGAAAGUUAUGUUGUGCCCGCAUCCAAGCCUUAUCUGCUGCUGUUUCCAUCAUUUCUGAAAAUCCACUCUUAGCAGCAAAACUUUUGUGAGGCCAGGGAGGGUCCCUUAUUAAGGCCUGAUUAGCAUGGCCUGGUGUCUCCGGUUAGCCAGCCUCUACCAAGGCUCCGAGGAAAGGCGCAUUUCAUGUUACUUCCAGUCCAGCCCCUCUCUCUCUGCCUUGGUUGAGUUUCAUGUCUUCCUCAUCUUCAGCAGAGAUGAUUAAAAUAACCACCUCACAACUCCUAUGGGUUGCCAUCUGUGAUGGUUAAUACUGUCAACUGGAUUGGGUUGAAGGAUAUAGAGUAUUGAUCUUGGGUGUAUCUGUGAGGGUGCUGCCAAAGGAGAUUCACAUUUGAGCCAGUGGACUGGGGAAGGGCAGACUCACCCUUAGUCUGGUGGGUACAAUCUAAUCAGCUGCCAAUGCGGCUAGAAUAUAAGCAGGCAGAAAAGUGUGAAAAGAGAGACUGGCCUAGCCUCCCAGCCUUCUUCUUUCUCCCAUGCUGGAUGCUUCCUGCCCUCAAACGUCGAACUUCCAGUUCUUCUGUUUUGGAAAUUAGACUGGCUCUUCUUGCUCCUAGGCCUGCAGACAGCCUAUUGUAGGCCCUUGUGAUCAUGUGAGUUAAUACUUAAUAAAUUCCCCUUUAUGUACAUAUCUAUUCCAUUAGUUCUUUCCCUCUAGAGAACCCUGACUAAUACACCAUCUCACACCGCAGCAACCUCCACUUUGCAGCCAGAUCCUUGGUCUAUAUCUUCCAGGGUCCUAACAGGGAGCAGCAUUCCGUUCAUUUGGUUAGUGGAAGAGACUUUAAGGAAGGAAGGAAAUGUUUACAGAAGUAGAGUCAGGGUCAAGGGCUCUAACAAGGACUGUGGGCACUGAGACUAGAAUGGGAGGAAAACAUCUUCUAGGACAAAAGAAAAAAAAGUGUGAGGGGAGGCCCUGAAGCUGUAGAGACAGUGGCCCAGCAGAAACGGUGUUUGGUAUCUACAGUGAACACUUCUGAGUCCUUGUCACAUCCCCUCAGCCUCCUACUGACUUCAGCUGCAAUUGCCGUCUGACCCUGACAGCUUUCUGCUGAAGGAAAGGCAAGUGUCCUUCUGAUUUAUCUCCAAGGCCUUCUCUAAAGCCGCACCUGCUUGGCUUGCUUGGAAGUGCAGCUGGAAAACCUGGAAGCCGCAGAGCCUCUGCAGCACCCAGCAAACAGCGGGUGGGGCACAGGAGCCAACAAAUCAACCUGCAGCCUCCCACCCUUCCCACAGAAGUCCCAGAGACGUUCUGUGCAUUUCUCAGAGGUCCCCCAGAGGCAAAUUCCAGUAGGUUCCUCUUAUUUGAUUUCCUUGUCUCCUGUCUGACCCUCCCUACUCCCCCAUUCUUGGAAUCACCUUCCAAAUAAAUCUCUGGAGCCCAAGUCCCUGCCCUGUGCUCUGCUUGCUGGGGAGCCCAUCUAACCUAUGGAGAGUCACAACUAUGACCAGAGUAGAGCCUAAAGCAGGGAAGUGGGGGUGAGCAUGGGAGGGGGGAGAAAUAUCCGUGCACAUCCCUUUCUCUCAAUCUGAAAACUACUUGUGUAUCUAAUGGGUGCAAUGAACAGAAAGCCAGCAGUGAGCCUGGGAGUGCAGUCUUUGGGGGUCAGCUUCCCAGACAGAGGAGAGAAGAGAAAGAAG
ensembl:lncRNA